UACGUAGGGUCCGAGCGUUGUCCGGAAUUACUGGGCGUAAAGAGCUCGUAGGCGGUUUGUCGCGUUGUUCGUGAAAACUCACAGCUCAACUGUGGGCGUGCGGGUGAUACGGGCAGACUGGAGUACUGCAGGGGAGACUGGAAUUCCUGGUGUAGCGGUGGAAUGCGCAGAUAUCAGGAGGAACACCGGUGGCGAAGGCGGGUCUCUGGGCAGUAACUGACGCUGAGGAGCGAAAGCGUGGGGAGCGAACAGG
rnacentral:rRNA from 1 species